GUAUUAUGUCGUUUCUCCCAUACAUCGGAAGGCAUUUGAGCACAGAGAUGCCUGUCCCCCCAUUUUCGUCUCCUUGAAAACUUCACUUAAGGCUGCUGUGUUCAUGAGGCUUUCUGUGGGUGGAUGGAGGUCAACCUUGAAGAAGCAGCCGAUUUCAGCUGGAGAUCUUGACCUGAGAACUGCUUCCUCAUGGAAACCUUCCAUGAUCCCCAUGCCUGGCCAGGUCCUAGGGUCAUGGGACUCGGCGAUGCCACUUCAGAUCUCUUACCACCAUUUAUCACCAUUCUGUUUUGAGAUAUUAUUUGAUCAUGGGACUUGAGGAAUCCUGCACUAGACUGGCAGUGCCAGGGCAGCAGUUCUCCUGCUUUACUCAUUGCCAUAUCUCCAGGAUCCAGCACAGUUCCAUGGAACACAAAGACAGCAGCUAGCAUUUGCCGAGUGCUUACCAUGUGCCAGGCCCCGUUGUCAGCACUUUACACAUAGCACAUUCCUGUAAUCAACAUGAAUGCCUGGAGACAGGUACAAUGAUCAUCUCCAUUCUACAGACAAGCAAACUGAGGUUCAGCUAAGCAAGUCAGCUAAUAUCA
rnacentral:lncRNA from 10 species